rnacentral:rRNA from 1 species
AUUGAACGCUGGCGGCAGGCCUAACACAUGCAAGUCGAGCGGAGGGGCGGAAGGGUGAGGAAUGCGGAGGAAUCUGCCUGGGAGUGGGGGAUAAGAUCCGGAAACGGGCGCUAAUACCGCAGAGGAUCGGAUGAGCCUCGGUCGGCGUAGAAAGUUGGUGGGGUAACGGCCUACCAAGGCGACGAUCCGUAACUGUUCGGAGAGGAUGAUCAGUCACAGUGGAACUGAGACACGGUCCAGAAUCCUACGGGAGGCAGCAGUGGGGAAUAUUGGACAAUGGGCGAAAGUCUGCUCCAGCCAUGCCGCGUGUGUGAAGAAGGUAUUCGGAUUGUAAAGCACUUUAGGUUGGGAGGCGUUACCAACUCCUUAAGCACCGGCUAACUUCGUGCCAGCAGCCGCGGUAAUAC